rnacentral:lncRNA from 10 species
CUGUAUUUGGAGAUAGGGCUUCUAAGGCAAUAAUUAUGGUUAAAUGAGGUCAUAAGGGUGUGGCCCUGAUCUAACAGGAUUAGUGUCCUUAUAAGAGUGUGCUCUCUCUCCCUCUCCCUUUCCCUGUCCCACUUCCUCCUCCAUCUCCCUCUCUGCCUUUCUUCCUCUCUCUCCCUCUCUCCAUCACCAGAGCACACAGCAAGAAGCCAGACAUCUGUAAGCCAGGAAGACAGGCCUCCUCAGAGACCCCACAGGACCUAGAUCUGGACGACUUCCAGCCUCCAGAACUCCAGGCCUAGCCCACUGGUCCCAGGAGGAUGAAGAGAAGCACAUUGAGCACAGUAGCCCUAGCCAGUUGCCGUAGAUGAGCCCAAUCUAGAUCUGCUGACCUCCAGCUGACCCACAGACACAUGAGCUUCAUAAAUGAUUUUUAUUUCAUUGAAAUACUGUGGUUGCUUGUUAUGUUGCAUUAUUAUAGCAACAAUUGACUGGAUACAACUUUAUAUCGACUUAUCUUAAUAGAUCUUAAUGUUCUGUUCAUUUAAUAGACGUGAAUAGGCACUUCACAUGUUGUAAAACACUGUAGUAGGAUGUGCCUGGACAUAUA